UUGAUCCUGCCGGACCCGACUGCUAUCAGAAUAGGACUAAGCCAUGCGAGUCAACGUAGCAAUACGUGGCAUACGGCUCAGUAACACGUAGUCAACAUGCCCAGGGGACGUGGAUAACCUCGGGAAACUGAGGAUAAACCGCGAUAGGUCAUAAUAUCUGGAAUGAUUUCUGGCUAAAAUCUAUAUGGCCCCUGGAUUGGACUGCGGCCGAUCAGGCUGUUGGUGAGGUAAUGGCCCACCAAACCUAAAACCGGUACGGGCUCUGAGAGGAGAAGCCCGGAGAUGGGCACUGAGACAAGGGCCCAGGCCCUAUGGGGCGCAGCAGGCGCGAAAACUCUGCAAUAAGCGAAAGCUUGACAGGGUUAUUCUGAGUGAUUUCCGCUAAGGAAAUCUUUUGGCACCUCUAAAAAUGGUGCAGAAUAAGGGGUGGGCAAGCCUGGUGUCAGCCGCCGCGGUAAUACCAGCACCCCGAGUGGUCGGGACGAUUAUUGGGCCUAAAGCAUCCGUAGCCGGUUUUACAAGUCCUCCGUUAAAUCCAACUGCUUAACAGAUGGGCCGCGGAGGAUACUAUAAGACUAGGAGGCAGGAGAGGCAAGCGGUACUCAGUGGGUAGGGGUAAAAUCCGUUGAUCCAUUGAAGACCACCAGUGGCGAAGGCGGCUUGCCAGAAUGCGCUCGACGGUGAGGGAUGAAAGCUGGGGGAGCAAACCGGAUUAGAUACC
rnacentral:rRNA from 1 species